GAUGAACGCUAGCGGCAGGCUUAAUACAUGCAAGUCGAGGGGCAGCAGGGGUGUAGCAAUACACUUGCUGGCGACCGGCAAACGGGUGCGGAAAACGUACGCAACUUACCCUGAACUGAGGGAUAGCCCGGGGAAACCCGGAGUAAUACCCCGUAACACUGUGAGGUGGCAUCACCUUAUAGUCAUAGCUCCGGCUGUUCAGGAUGGGCGGGCGGCUGAUUAGGUAGUUGGUUGGGGUAAUGGCCCACCAAGCCUACGAUCAGUAACUGGUGUGAGAGCACGACCAGUCAAACGGGCACUGAGACACUGGCCCGACUCCUACGGGAGGCAGCAGUAAGGAAUAUUGGGCAAUGGAGGCAACUCUGACCCAGCCAUGCCGCGUGGAGGAUGAAGGCCCUCUGGGUUGUAAACUUCUUUUACCUGGGACGAAACCUUUCUUUUCUAAGGGAGUUGACGGUACCAGGGGAAUAAGCACCGGCUAACUCCGUGCCAGCCGCCGCCGUAAUAC
rnacentral:rRNA from 1 species